rnacentral:rRNA from 1 species
UACGUAGGGUGCAAGCGUUAAUCGGAAUUACUGGGCGUAAAGCGUGCGCAGGCGGUUUUGUAAGUCUGUCGUGAAAGCCCCGGGCUCAACCUGGGAAUUGCGAUGGAGACUGCAAGGCUUGAAUCUGGCAGAGGGGGGUAGAAUUCCACGUGUAGCAGUGAAAUGCGUAGAGAUGUGGAGGAAUACCGAUGGCGAAGGCAGCCCCCUGGGAUAACACUGACGCUCAUGCACGAAACGCGUGGGGAGCAAACAGG